rnacentral:rRNA from 1 species
UACGUAGGGUGCGAGCGUUAAUCGGAAUUACUGGGCGUAAAGCGUGCGCAGGCGGUUUUGUAAGCCAGAUGUGAAAUCCCCGAGCUUAACUUGGGAACUGCAUUUGGGACUGCAAGGCUAGAGUACGGCAGAGGGGGGUAGAAUUCCUGGUGUAGCAGUGAAAUGCGCAGAUAUCAGGAGGAACACCAAUGGCGAAGGCAGCUCGCUGGGACGGUACUGACGCUGAGACGCGAAAGCGUGGGGAGCAAACAGG